GGCCAGAACAAUUAUGUUCUAAUUCGACAAGGAUCAUUGAUCCAAAAUGAUCCUAUUGAGCUCUCACAAUUCGUCAGUGAUAUCUAGCAAUAUGUAGUGACAAUCCAGUGAAUCGAAAUAGAACGUUUAGGCAUAGUUAAUAUAUAAUACAGUCCCUCUAUAGUGAGUCCCGACUAGAUGGCAAGUCAUAGAUAAAUCAUCAAAUCUCAUCGUCAGUCAUAUGAUAGAUUUGAUCAGCUCAAGUCCAAUAGUGAUUCUAAAUAGAAACUCUUUUCAUCAAUCACACUGCUAUGGCCAUAGACUUAUGGACUCAGCUUCUCAAGUCUCAUAGGACUACUUCUCUCUAUCAAAGUCGAUAGAUCUUAUAUAGAUGCAUAUAUUACUCACACAACUCAACCAACUAAAGCCAACAUCCACUAUAAAAACUCAUAAUCGAGUUAAUAUUUAUGUGUAGUCAAACUACAGCAGUCUUACUGUGAGCAACUAUGACACC
rnacentral:lncRNA from 1 species